GAUGAACGCUCGCGGCGCGCCUAAUACACGCAAGUCGAGCGAACAGAUGAGGAGCUUGCUCCUCUGACGUUAGCGGCGGACGGGUGAGUAACACGUGGAUAACCUACCUAUAAGACUGGGAUAACCUCGGGAAACCGGAGCUAAUACCGGAUAAUAUAUUGAACCGCAUGGUUCAAUAGUGAAUGACGGUUUUGCUGUCACUUAUAGAUGGAUCCGCGCCGCAUUAGCUAGUUGGUAAGGUAACGGCUUACCAAGGCAACGAUGCGUAGCCGACCUGAGAGGGUGAUCGGCCACACUGGAACUGGGCCACGGUCCAGACUCCUACGGGAGGCAGCAGUAGGGAAUCUUCCGCAAUGGGCGAAAGCCUGACGGAGCAACGCCGCGUGAGUGAUGAAGGUCUUCGGAUCGUAAAGCUCUGUUAUUAGGGAAGAACAAAUGUGUAAGUAACUAUGCACGUCUUGACGGUACCUAAUCAGAAAGCCACGGCUAACUACGUG
rnacentral:rRNA from 1 species